rnacentral:rRNA from 1 species
GCAAAUAGUGGAUGCCUUGGCUUAUUUGGCCGAAGAAGGACGCGUACCCCGCGAAAGUCGACGAGUAACUGGGAAAAAGUAAUGAUCCGUCGGUGUCCGAAUAGGGUAACCUUGCUACAUGAAGAUGUAGUGGCCCUAGAACCUUGAGUUCUAGGGGGGAAACGUGCCGAACUGAAAUAUCUAAGUAGGUGCAGGAAAAGAAAUCGUAAGAGAUUCCCUUAGUAAGCGACGAGCGAACAGGGAAAAGCACAAACCAGCAUUUAUGCUGGGGUUGUAGGACUUCAAUAUCGUAUUCUUAAGAGUAAUAGAACACCGUGGAAUAGGUGACCAAAGAGAGUGAAAGUCUCGUACAUAAAACUUGAUAGAAGCGUAGAAGUAUCCUGAGUAGGUUAGGAGACGGCAAACUCCUUUCUGAAUCUGGGGUGACCACACUCCAAUGCUAAAUACCAAAUAAGACCGAUAGUGAACGAGUACCGUGAGGGAAAGGUGAAAAGAAGGGUUGAAGACCCCGUGAAAUAGAAUCUGAAACUAUUUGCUAACAAUCAGAGAAAGCACAUUUAUUGUGUGAUCUCGUGCCUAUUGAAGAAUGAGCCGGCGAGUAUUUGAUAACUGCUUUAGGUUAAGACAUUCCGUGUCGAAGCCGUAGUGAAAGCGAGCCUGAAUAGGGCGACCCUUGUAGUUAUUGAAUGACCCGAAACCGGGUGAGCUUACCAUGGCCAGGUUGAAGCCCUGAUAAUAUCGGGGUGGAGGACCGAACCGGUGUAUGCUGCAAGAUGCUCGGAUGAGCUGUGGUAAGAGGUAAUAUGCCAAUCGAACCCGGAGAUAGCUGGUUCUCCCUGAAAUAUAUUUAGGUAUAGGGUCGCGUGAAGUCAUAGGGGGGUAGAGCACUGAUCUGGUGUCUGGGAAGCAAUUUUCAGCACCUAGUUAAACUCCGAAUACCCUAUUGAUGUUUCGCGGCACUCAGCACCUGGGAGCUAAGUUCCAGGAGCAAAAGGAAAACAAACCAGACCUACAGCUAAGGUCUCAAAUACAUAUUUAGUGGGAAAGGAAGUGUUGUCCCAAAAACACCUAGGAGGUCGGCUCAGAAGCAGCCAUCCUUUAAAGAAAGCGUAACAGCUCACUAGCCGAGGGACAGCGCGCCGAAAAUCCAACGAGGCUCAAAUAUGUAACCGAAGCUUAGGGUUUUCAACAAGAUUUAUCUUGUUGGGAGCGGUAAGGGAGCGUUCUGUGUGCUUUGAAGGUGCCCCGUGAGGAGGCGCUGGAGCGAUCAGAAGUGAGAAUGCCGGCAUGAGUAGCGAAAUUGGGGUGAGAAUCCCCGACUCCGAAUGACCAAGGUUUCCGCACCCACGUUCGUCGUGUGCGGGUUAGGCGACCCUAAGGUGAGUCUAGCAGAAGCUAGAGUAGCCGAUGGAUUACAGGCUAAUAUUCCUGUCCUUGGUUAGUAUCAUUUGACUUGGGGAGGGACGGCGAAGGAUAACAUGUGCGCAGCGGUGAAUGUUGCGUCUAAGCACAAAAGCAGUCCGGAUAGGCAAAUCCGUUCGGGCGUUUAUCUGAUGUGUUAUGGAACACCGAUUCUUCGGAUGAAGUGUUACGUGCGAUUUCAUUGUCCUGGAAAAGCUUCGCAAGGAGAUAUUAAUCAAAUCGUACCGAUAACCGACACAGGUGGUCAGGUCGAGUAGACUAAGGAGAGCGAGAGAAGGUAGUUUAAGGAAUUCGGCAAAACAGCUGGGCGUAAUUUAGAGAGAUGCCCUCCUCUUUACAGCAAUGUAAAGAGGCGCAGUGAAUGUCAUGGGGUUGACUGUUUACCAAAAACACAGGUCUGUGCAAACUCGUAAGAGGAAGUAUACGGGCUGAAGCCUGCCCAGUGCCGGAAGGUUAACUGCGAGGGUGGUCGUACUUGUACGAACGCCUUCAAUGGAAGCCCCGGUGAACGGCAGCAGUAACUAUAACUGUUCUAUGGUAGCGAAGUUCCUUGUCGCUUAAUUGGCGACCCGCACGAAAGGUUUAACAAGCCCCAUACUGUCUUGAACUAUUACUCGGCGAAAUUGAAAUGGCUGUGAAGAUGCGGCCUACUGACGGCAGGACAAAAAGACCCCGUAGAGCUUUACUACAACUUGGCACUGAGAAUGUGUAUGGAAUCGUUUAGUAUAGGUGGGAGAAUCCUUCAUUUUGAUGGAUUCAUCAGUGAAAUACCACCCGUUUCGUACAUAUUUUCUAACUUAAGAUCAAUGCAAACUUGAUCAAGGACACUGUCUGGUGGGUAGUUUAACUGGGGAGGUUGCUUGCUAAAGAGUAACGCAAGCGCGCAAUGGUACCCUUAGCCUGGAUGGAAAUCAGGCUGUACGUGCAAUAGCAGAUGGGUGCUUUACUGUGAGGCAUACAAGCCGAGCAGUUGCGAAAGCAGGUUAUAGUGAUCCUCGUGUGUUUUGUGGAAGACACCGGGCUUAUCGGA